CGUAGGGGGCGAGCGUUGUCCGGAUUUAUUGGGCGUAAAGAGCUCGUAGGCGGUUCGAUAAGUCGGACGUGAAAUCUCCACGCUCAACGUGGAGGGGCCGUUCGAUACUGUCGUGACUCGAGUCCGGUAGGGGAGUGUGGAAUUCCCGGUGUAGCGGUGAAAUGCGCAGAGAUCGGGAGGAACACCCGUAGCGAAGGCGGCACUCUGGGCCGGUACUGACGCUGAGGAGCGAAAGCGUGGGGAGCAAACAGGAUUAGAUACCCUGGUAGUCCACGCCGUAAACGUUGGGCACUAGGUGUGGGACUCUAUCGACGGGUUCCGUGCCGUAGCUAACGCAUUAAGUGCCCCGCCUGGGGAGUACGGCCGCAAGGCUA
rnacentral:rRNA from 1 species